rnacentral:rRNA from 1 species
UACGAAGGGGACUAGCGUUGUUCGGAAUCACUGGGCGUAAAGCGCACGUAGGCGGAUGUGUCAGUCAGGGGUGAAAUCCCGGGGCUCAACCUCGGAACUGCCUUUGAUACAGCACGUCUCGAGUCCGGAAGAGGUGGGUGGAAUUCCUAGUGUAGAGGUGAAAUUCGUAGAUAUUAGGAAGAACACCGGUGGCGAAGGCGGCCCACUGGUCCGGUACUG